rnacentral:rRNA from 1 species
UGGGGAAUAUUGGACAAUGGGCGAAAGCCUGAUCCAGCCAUGCCGCGUGCGUGAAGAAGGCCUUCGGGUUGUAAAGCUCUUUUGUCAGGGAAGAUAAUGACUGUACCGGGAGAAUAAGCUCCGGCUAACUCCGUGCCAGCAGCCGCGGUAAGACGGAGGGGGCUAGCGUUGUUCGGAAUUACUGGGCGUAAAGGGCGCGUAGGCGGCCAUGUAUGUCGGGGGUGAAAUCCCAGAGCUUAACUCUGGAACUGCUCUCGAAACUGCAUGGCUAGAGUGAGUAAGAGGCGGACGGAAUUCCGAGUGUAGCAGUGAAAUGCGUAGAUAUUCGGAGGAACAUCGGUGGCGAAGGC